rnacentral:rRNA from 1 species
CAACAGCGUAUAUUAAAGUUGUUGCAGUUAAAAAGCUCGUAGUUGGAUUUGUGGCGUACGGUGUGUUCCGGGCACUUGUUGUCUGAGUAACCUGCUGUUGCCAUCCUUGGGUGGAACCUGUGUGGCAUUAGGUUGUCGUGCAGGGGAUGCCCAUCAUUUACUGUGAAAAAAUUAGAGUGUUCAAAGCAGGCUUAUGCCGUUGAAUAUAUUAGCAUGGAAUAAUGAGAUAGGACUUUCUUGCUAUUUUGUUGGUUUGCGCAAAGAGGUAAUGAUUAAUAGGGACAGUUGGGGGUAUUCGUAUUCCAUUGUCAGAGGUGAAAUUCUUGGAUUUUUGGAAGACGAACUACUGCGAAAGCAUUUACCAAGGAUGUUUUCAUUAA